UUAAGCGAAUAAGCGUACACGGUGGAUGCCUAGGCAAUCAGAGGCGAUGAAGGACGUGCUAAUCUGCGAUAAGCGUCGGUAAGGUGAUAUGAACCGUUAUACCCGACGAUUUCCGAAUGGGGAAACCCAAUAUCCAAUGGAUAUUAUCAUGACGUGAAUACAUAGCGUCAUGAAGCGAACCGGGAGAACUGAAACAUCUCAGUACCCCGAGGAAAAGAAAUCAACCGAGAUUCCCCUAGUAGCGGCGAGCGAACGGGGAACAGCCCAGAGUCUUAAUCAACAGCAGCAUCAGGAGAACGGUCUGGAAAGUCCGGCAGUAAAGGGUGAUAGCCCCGUAUCUGAAGAUGCUGUUAUUGUGAACUCGACGAGUAGGGCGGGACACGUGUUAUCCUGUCUGAAUAUGGGGGGACCAUCCUCCAAGGCUAAAUACUCCUGAUUGACCGAUAGUGAACCAGUACCGUGAGGGAAAGGCGAAAAGAACCCCGGCGAGGGGAGUGAAAAAGAACCUGAAACCGUGUACGUACAAGCAGUAGGAGCCUCUUUAUGGGGUGACUGCGUACCUUUUGUAUAAUGGGUCAGCGACUUAUAUUCUGUAGCAAGGUUAACCGUAUAGGGGAGCCGUAGGGAAACCGAGUCUUAACUGGGCGAAUGAGUUGCAGGGUAUAGACCCGAAACCCGGUGAUCUAUCCAUGGGCAGGUUGAAGGUUGGGUAACACUAACUGGAGGACCGAACCGACUAAUGUUGAAAAAUUAGCGGAUGACUUGUGGAUGGGGGUGAAAGGCCAAUCAAACCGGGAGAUAGCUGGUUCUCCCCGAAAGCUAUUUAGGUAGCGCCUCGUGAACUCAUCUUCGGGGGUAGAGCACUGUUUCGACUAGGGGGUCAUCCCGACUUACCAACUCGAUGCAAACUGCGAAUACCGAAGAAUGUUAUCACGGGAGACACACGGCGGGUGCUAACGUCCGUCGUGAAGAGGGAAACAACCCAGACCGCCAGCUAAGGUCCCAAAGUCAUGGUUAAGUGGGAAACGAAGUGGGAAGGCUCAGACAGCCAGGAUGUUGGCUUAGAAGCAGCCAUCAUUUAAAGAAAGCGUAAUAGCUCACUGGUCGAGUCGGCCCGCGCGGAAGAUGUAACGGGGCUAAACCAUGCACCGAAGCUGCGGCAGCGACACUAUGUGUUGUUGGGUAGGGGAGCGUUCUGUAAGCCUGCGAAGGUGUACUGUGAGGUAUGCUGGAGGUAUCAGAAGUGCGAAUGCUGACAUAAGUAACGAUAAUGCGGGUGAAAAACCCGCACGCCGGAAGACCAAGGGUUCCUGUCCAACGUUAAUCGGGGCAGGGUGAGUCGACCCCUAAGGCGAGGCUGAAAAGCGUAGUCGAUGGGAAACGGGUUAAUAUUCCCGUACUGGUGGUAACUGCGAUGGGGGAACGGAGAAGGCUAGGUUGUCCGGGCGACGGUCGUCCCGGUUCAAGCAUGUAGGCAGAGUGAUUAGGCAAAUCCGGUCACUUAAUGCUGAGGUGUGAUGACGAGCCACUAAGGUGGUGAAGCAAUUGAUGCCCUGCUUCCAGGAAAAGCCUCUAAGCUUCAGGUUACCAACAAUCGUACCCCAAACCGACACAGGUGGUCAGGUAGAGAAUACUCAGGCGCUUGAGAGAACUCGGGUGAAGGAACUAGGCAAAAUGGUGCCGUAACUUCGGGAGAAGGCACGCUGGCGGUAAGUGAAGUCCCUUGCGGACGGAGCCGAAGCCAGUCGAAGAUACCAGCUGGCUGCAACUGUUUAUUAAAAACACAGCACUGUGCAAACACGAAAGUGGACGUAUACGGUGUGACGCCUGCCCGGUGCUGGAAGGUUAAUUGAUGGGGUUAUCCGUAAGGAGAAGCUCUUGAUCGAAGCCCCAGUAAACGGCGGCCGUAACUAUAAACGGUCCUAAGGUAGCGAAAUUCCUUG
rnacentral:rRNA from 1 species